rnacentral:lncRNA from 1 species
UGCUGUAACUAGUUUAUUAGAAAUAUUAACCAAGUAGCCUCUCUACUUUGUGGGAUGGCUUAUACAUAUACCAAAUGAGCAUAUUAUGGCUAGAUAAAAUGAUGAAAUAGUAUGGCCCCAAGCCAAUUUGGGUCACAGACUGCACUUUUAAAAAUCAUAUAAUUCUCUUUAAACUUGCCAAUUUUAUAACCACACAUGCACAUGAAAACAUUUUUAAAAAUAGUAUUAUGGUUGUAAAAUAAGGUACUCAGUAGGAUGUGCCAAAAUAGGAGCUGUCCRUGCAACUUGAUUUACAUCCCCUUUGUUCUAUAGUGCAUGCUCACAUACUAAUCUGUCAAUAGCAUCCUGCCUUAUUAGGUGCAUGAGACAGUGUCUGCUGUAGGGAAAAAUCAGGAUGAUGGGAAUCCUACUUCACCUGUUGCAAAAGUUGGAGGUUGUAUGUAUUUGGUGAAAAGYCUGGUUUAAGUAGUUUAAGACUCAGCGUUUUUUAGAUGAAAUUAGAUGGCAGCCACAAGGCCAGGACCCAAUUAAUUCCCUCGGUCAAAAAAUAGUGAAAGUAGGACAGGGUCAUUAAAAAGAAAGGAUGAUCUGAGGAUUAAGAURAUGAAUGCUGUCCUGAAGACCUGGAAACUCUCUCUGCUUCUGUCAAAAAAUUUUUGUGGGAUGCCAUGUCAGAUGCUUAAAACAACUCAGUAUGGCUCCCACUGAGUGAGGCUGAUCUGCAGAGCUGCUGCAACCAAAAUCCUUGGGAGCUCUGCUUUGAAAAAUGAGGUACCUGUCUUUUACCUGAACUACUCUAUCCAGAUUACCCUCUAUAAAAUUAAUAUACCAUCCUUCUAUCACACAGACAUGAUAUUUUCUAAGACUGUAAGGCACUCAUAUAAUUGUGGUAAAAAUCACAAAACAGCCUAUGAGAAGAUUCCUAAGCCUGUCUUCAGUGCAAAGCAAGCCUGUGAGAGGACAGCUUCUCUUCGUAGCAACUGCCAGUCUUGUGAAACAAAUGAGCAAGGACGCCUGUGGAAAAGAAAGGGCAACAAGCAAUGCAAAGCAGCUUAACCAGGUAGCCGUUGCCCCAGCUUGGGAAGCGAC